rnacentral:ncRNA from 2 species
UAUAUAAAAAACUAAAUUUCUCGUAUACACCGGUAAUAUGGUCCGGAAGUUUCUACCUGCUGCCAUAAAUAGCAGACUACGGGGUGUUAUUGAUAAUAU